rnacentral:rRNA from 1 species
CCUACGGGCUGCACCAGUGGGGAAUAUUGCACAAUGGGCGCAAGCCUGAUGCAGCCAUGCCGCGUGUAUGAAGAAGGCCCUAGGGUUGUAAAGUACUUUCAGUCGAGAGGAAGGCGUUGAUGCUAAUAUCAUCAACGAUUGACGUUACCGACAGAAGAAGCACCGGCUAACUCCGUGCCAGCAGCCGCGGUAAUACGGAAGGUGCAAGCGUUAAUCGGAAUUACUGGGCGUAAAGCGCACGCAGGCGGUUGAUUAAGUUAGAUGUGAAAUCCCCGGGCUUAACCUGGGAAUGGCAUCUAAGACUGGUCAGCUAGAGUCUUGUAGAGGGGGGUAGAAUUCCAUGUGUAGCGGUGAAAUGCGUAGAGAUCUGGAGGAAUACCGGUGGCGAAGGCAGCCCCCUGGACAAAGACUGACGCUCAGGUGCGAAAGCGUGGGGAGCAAACAGGAUUAGAUACCCCCAGUAGUC